AUUGAACGCUGGCGGCAGGCUUAACACAUGCAAGUCGAGCGGGGUGAUGGUGCUUGCACUAUCACUUAGCGGCGGACGGGUGAGUAAUGCUUAGGAAUCUGCCUAUUAGUGGGGGACAACAUCUCGAAAGGGAUGCUAAUACCGCAUACGUCCUACGGGAGAAAGCAGGGGAUCACUUGUGACCUUGCGCUAAUAGAUGAGCCUAAGUCGGAUUAGCUAGUUGGUGGGGUAAAGGCCUACCAAGGCGACGAUCUGUAGCGGGUCUGAGAGGAUGGUCCGCCACACUGGGACGGAGACACGGCCCAGGAUCCUACGGGAGGCAGCAGUGGGGAAUAUUGGACAAUGGGGGGAACCCUGAUCCAGCCAUGCCGCGUGUGUGAAGAAGGCCUUAUGGUCGUAAAGCACUUUGAGCGAGGAGGAGGCUCUUCUGGUUAAUACCCAAGAUGAGUGGACGUUACUUGCAGAAUAAGCACCGGCUAACUCUGUGCCAGCCGCCGCUGUAA
rnacentral:rRNA from 1 species